GUCUCAGCAUCAGAGGAGCCAGGAGGAGGACCCUCCCGAUCCCAGCUAAUGAGACUGGACAAUAUGCUUUUGGCAGAAGGGGUUUCAGGUCCUGAGAAAGGUGGGGGAUCGGCGGCAGCAGCUGCAGCCGCGGCAGCUCUGGAGGUUCUUCAGAUAACUCUAUUGAACACUCAGAUUACAGAGCCAAUUGACCCAGAUCAGACAAAUCUAUCACACAGAACUGGAGAAAUAUGAACAGGCAUGUAAUGAAUUUACUACACAUGUGAUGAACCUUCUCCGAGAACAGAGUAGAACACGUCCCAUUUCUCCAAAAGAGAUUGAAAGAAUGGUGGGCAUCAUCCAUCGAAAAUUUAGUUCCAUUCAGAUGCAGCUCAAACAAAGCACUUGUGAAGCAGUUAUGAUUUUAAGAUCAAGGUUCCUUGAUGCCAGACGGAAAAGGCGUAACUUCAGUAAACAGGCCACAGAAAUCUUGAAUGAAUAUUUUUACUCACACCUCAGCAACCCCUACCCCAGUGAAGAAGCCAAAGAGGAGCUGGCCAAGAAAUGCAGCAUCACAGUGUCACAGGUAUCCAAUUGGUUUGGCAACAAACGAAUCAGGUACAAGAAGAAUAUCGGCAAGUUUCAGGAAGAAGCCAACCUCUAUGCUGCGAAGACGGCCGUGACAGCUGCACACGCAGUAGCAGCAGCUGUGCAGAACAACCAGACCAAUUCGCCCACCACACCAAAUUCCGGUGGAUACCCUCCGUCAUGUUAUCAAUCAGACGGGAGGCUACAGUGAUGGCCUUGGAGGAAAUUCACUGUACAGUCCACAUAAUUUAAAUGCUAAUGGAGGCUGGCAGGACGCAACAACUCCAUCUUCUGUGACUUCUCCUACAGAAGGCCCAGGAAGUGUGCACUCGGAUACCUCUAACUAAUCUCUGGCCACACUUUU
rnacentral:sRNA from 1 species